rnacentral:sRNA from 1 species
CGAUCUGCUGCGGGCAGAUGAAGUGGAUAUGCGUAUCGAUGCCGCCGGCGGUGACGAUGAGUCCCUCGCCCGCAAGCGCCUCGGUGCCCGCGCCCACGGUCAUGCCCGGGGUGACGUUCUCCAUGGUGUCGGGGUUGCCGGCGUGGCCGAUGCCCACGAUGUAGCCGCCCUUGAUGCCGAUGUCGGCCUUGUAGAUGCCGGUGUAGUCGAGGAUCAGCGCGUUGGUGAUCACGAGGUCGAGGACGCCGUCCGCGGAGGUGCCCUUAACGUUCUGGCCCAUGCCGUCGCG